CCCCCACCUCUACCUAGCCACCACAGUCAAACAGUAACAGAAGUCGCUCGACUCUCUCCCUCUACACACGCACGCGAGAAGGAGAUGAAUGCCUCCAUCUCUCGCCAUUCCCUCUCUAGUCUCUCUCUCUCUCUCUACGUGCGAGCACAUCCUCUCUACCACACCUCCCUCUUCUGCAUGGAGGCAUAGAGGAGAUGGGCAUGCCUCGCUCUCUGGCAUGGAGGUGAGGAGACGAGUGCGACUCCCUCUCCGGUGUGGAUGCGAGGAGGAGACAGAGGCGUCCCUCUCUCUAUCUCUAUCUCUUCCCCUUGUUAUCUCCCUUAUUAUUUCCUCUCCCUCCCUUUGUGGAUCUAUGGGUGUGUAGGCCUAUGACCGACCCCUCCCUUUGUGGAUCAUCGAGUGUGGAGGCCUAUGAUCGGCUGAUAAUGGCGGCGAGACUCUAGAGCCGACAUGGAGGGCGACGGUACUAGGUACAUCUCUCUAUCUUCUUCCUUCCAAUCUUAUCUCCACCUCACCCACACUCUUCCCUACGUAGAUCUCAUGGCAAUGGGGAGGGAACAAUGAUAGUGGAGGUUGACGAGCUCUUGGAGGCGCGGACAUAGAGGAAACCACCGGGCUUCGGGCUGUGCAUGUUGAAGGGUCAGCGGGUGGCAUGUGUAGAUGAGACUAGCGAGCUUUGGGCAAUGUGUGCAUGUAGGAGCCUCGACAACGGCGACUCCAGAUGGUAUAGCAGGCCCUAGAAACUAGAGCAGACUCUAGAACCUAGAUCUUAAUUUUUUUAUUUAUAGAGAUGGCAUGGUAAUCCACUCGCCUCUAAAAAUACCAUUUUCCAAGGCAGAUCUUUUGGCCAUCUUCGUUAAAAACGAUUAACGGAGACGUUUGCUUUGAGGCGAGCACCAUUUCUGAUCGACUCACAGAAGUGUAAGUCGUAGUAUAUUGAACUUAUUGGUGAUGGGACAAGUGUCGAUUUCCUUAAUAACAAAUUUGUAGUUUGAAAAUAAAUAUAAUUCUAAACAUGACAAUUAGUCAAUUAUAACUAUACUAUUCAAUCAACAAGUACUUUGACAUGGUUCAUAACCUUAGGAAAAUAAGCAUCAGAGUUUGUUUGAUUUUUAGAAAAAUGAAAAGUCUUUAUUUUUGCUUGUGCAUGAGUCGCGCACUCAACCAAACAAAAUUAAAUUUUUGGCUGAAAAGCAAAAACUAUCAAAAAACGAACCAUUUUUUUGAGCCUAAUGUCAUUCUUUUAUAAUUGGUCCAAAACUGAAUCAAGUAAGUAGCCCCAAAAAUGACAUGCAUAACAUGACAACCAAUGAGAGCUCUAGAGUAUUGAAUUGUCCUCCAAGUUGGGCACACUAUUGGGCAAUGAAGACUUGGAUCCAAUGGUUCUCUAACCAGCUCUAGCAUGGCUCUUUAAGUUUUUGUGAGCACAGGAACAAAUUCAUAGGCCUUAUCAUGAUCGAAGGAAGGCAACAUCGAGGAGGGGUAGACCCUCAGUGAAGGCCCAGGACCCAGGACGCCACUACCAACAAACAAAGUCCUGCUCACGCCUCCAAGGAUCACUAGUGAGCGGGCCUUUGCUGACACUGAUGAAGGCUAUUGGUCCACCGCCUCUGAUGAGCGCAUGAGGCCUUGGCAGACCUUGAUUGUUAGGUCAAAUUACUGCCUUCAUGUUGAGAGACUCCCAAGAAACCUCAGGGUCCCAAUGGGCCUUCAUCAUGAAUCGAAAAGGGCCCAUGGGAGAGGGAAACAGCCCGGAUCACCAGCUAAGGCCCCUAAAUGACCGCUCAGUGAUAAAGGAGGUGGGGGUGCAAAGACAGCCAGGAGGUUUGCCUAGAAGCAGCCACCCUUUAAAGAGUGCGUAAUAGCUCACUGAUCGAGCGCCCUUGCGCUGAAGAUGAACGGGGCUAAGCGAUCUGCCGAAGCUGUGGGAUGUCAAAAUGCAUCGGUAGGGGAGCGUUCCGCCUUAGAGGGAAGCAAACGCGAAAGCGGGGGUCGACAAAGCGGAAGCGAGAAUGUCGGCUUGAGUAACAAAAACAUUGGUGAGAAUCCAAUGCCCCGAAAACCCAAGGUUUCCUCCGCAAGGUUCGUCCACGGAGGGUGAGUCAGGC
rnacentral:lncRNA from 1 species